CUGCGGAGGGAUCAUUACCGAGUUUACAACUCCCAAACCCAAUGUGAACGUUACCAAACUGUUGCCUCGGCGGGAUCUCUGCCCCGGGUGCGUCGCAGCCCCGGACCAAGGCGCCCGCCGGAGGACCAACCAAAACUCUUAUUGUAUACCCCCUCGCGGGUUUUUUACUAUCUGAGCCAUCUCGGCGCCCCUCGUGGGCGUUUCGAAAAUGAAUCAAAACUUUCAACAACGGAUCUCUUGGUUCUGGCAUCGAUGAAGAACGCAGCGAAAUGCGAUAAGUAAUGUGAAUUGCAGAAUUCAGUGAAUCAUCGAAUCUUUGAACGCACAUUGCGCCCGCCAGUAUUCUGGCGGGCAUGCCUGUCCGAGCGUCAUUUCAACCCUCGAACCCCUCCGGGGGGUCGGCGUUGGGGAUCGGCCCUUUACGGGGCCGGCCCCGAAAUACAGUGGCGGUCUCGCCGCAGCCUCUCCUGCGCAGUAGUUUGCACACUCGCAUCGGGAGCGCGGCGCGUCCACAGCCGUUAAACACCCCAAACUUCUGAAAUGUUGACCUCGGAUCAGGUAGGAAUACCCGCUGAACUUAAGCAUAU
rnacentral:rRNA from 1 species